rnacentral:rRNA from 1 species
AACGAACGCUGGCGGCAUGCCUAACACAUGCAAGUCGAACGAGAUCUUCGGGUCUAGUGGCGCACGGGUGCGUAACGCGUGGGAAUCUGCCCUUUGGUUCGGAAUAACAGUUGGAAACGACUGCUAAUACCGGAUGAUGACGAAAGUCCAAAGAUUUAUCGCCAGAGGAUGAGCCCGCGUAGGAUUAGCUAGUUGGUGUGGUAAAGGCGCACCAAGGCGACGAUCCUUAGCUGGUCUGAGAGGAUGAUCAGCCACACUGGGACUGAGACACGGCCCAGAAUCCUACGGGAGGCAGCAGUGGGGAAUAUUGGACAAUGGGCGAAAGCCUGAUCCAGCAAUGCCGCGUGAGUGAUGAAGGCCUUAGGGUUGUAAAGCUCUUUUACCCGGGAUGAUAAUGACAGUACCGGGGGAAUAAGCUCCGGCUAACUCCGUGCUAGCCGCCGCGGUAA